GGGUUGUGAGGUUAAGCGACUAAGCGUACACGGUGGAUGCCCUGGCAGUCAGAGGCGAUGAAGGGCGUGCUAAUCUGCGAUAAGCGCCGGUAAGGUGAUAUGAACCGUUAUAACCGGCGAUACCCGAAUGGGGAAACCCAGUGUGACUCGUCACACUAUCAUUAACUGAAUCCAUAGGUUAAUGAGGCGAACCGGGGAACUGAAACAUCUAAGUACCCCGAGGAAAAGAAAUCAACCGAGAUUCCCCCAGUAGCGGCGAGCGAACGGGGAGGAGCCCAGAGCCUGAAUCAGCAUGUGUGUUAGUGGAAGCGUCUGGAAAGGCGCGCGAUACAGGGUGACAGCCCCGUACACAAAAGCGCAUGUGCUGUGAGCUCGAUGAGUAGGGCGGGACACGUGGUAUCCUGUCUGAAUAUGGGGGGACCAUCCUCCAAGGCUAAAUACUCCUGACUGACCGAUAGUGAACCAGUACCGUGAGGGAAAGGCGAAAAGAACCCCGGCGAGGGGAGUGAAAAAGAACCUGAAACCGUGUACGUACAAGCAGUGGGAGCCCCACCACCAAAGCAUUUGCUGUACCGCGUUGACGGAGCGAAGCGACGUCAAACCGAUAAAACAGCAGUGUAAAGUGAGCCGCAGGGCGCUUUGCGCGACAGCGCAAAGGCAGGCGGUUUCGCGUAGCGAAAGCGAAUGCUUUGGGGUGGGGUGACUGCGUACCUUUUGUAUAAUGGGUCAGCGACUUAUAUUCUGUAGCAAGGUUAACCGAAUAGGGGAGCCGGAGGGAAACCGAGUCUUAAUUGGGCGUUAAGUUGCAGGGUAUAGACCCGAAACCCGGUGAUCUAGCCAUGGGCAGGUUGAAGGUUGGGUAACACUAACUGGAGGACCGAACCGACUAAUGUUGAAAAAUUAGCGGAUGACCUGUGGCUGGGGGUGAAAGGCCAAUCAAACCGGGAGAUAGCUGGUUCUCCCCGAAAGCUAUUUAGGUAGCGCCUCGUGAAUUCAUCUCCGGGGGUAGAGCACUGUUUCGGCUAGGGGGCCAUCCCGGCUUACCAACCCGAUGCAAACUGCGAAUACCGGAGAAUGUUAUCACGGGAGACACACGGCGGGUGCUAACGUCCGUCGUGAAGAGGGAAACAACCCAGACCGCCAGCUAAGGUCCCAAAGUCAUGGUUAAGUGGGAAACGAUGUGGGAAGGCCCAGACAGCCAGGAUGUUGGCUUAGAAGCAGCCAUCAUUUAAAGAAAGCGUAAUAGCUCACUGGUCGAGUCGGCCUGCGCGGAAGAUGUAACGGGGCUAAACCAUGCACCGAAGCUGCGGCAGCGACACUGUGUGUUGUUGGGUAGGGGAGCGUUCUGUAAGCCUGUGAAGGUGUGUCGUGAGGCAUGCUGGAGGUAUCAGAAGUGCGAAUGCUGACAUAAGUAACGAUAAAGCGGGUGAAAAGCCCGCUCGCCGGAAGACCAAGGGUUCCUGUCCAACGUUAAUCGGGGCAGGGUGAGUCGACCCCUAAGGCGAGGCCGAAAGGCGUAGUCGAUGGGAAACGGGUUAAUAUUCCGUACUUGGUGUUACUGCGAAGGGGGGACGGAGAAGGCUAUGUUGGCCGGGCGACGGUUGUCCCGGUUUAAGCGUGUAGGUGUGUGUUCCAGGUAAAUCCGGUUCACUUUAACACUGAGGCGUGACGACGAGGCACUACGGUGCUGAAGCAACAAAUGCCCUGCUUCCAGGAAAAGCCUCUAAGCAUCAGGUAACAUCAAAUCGUACCCCAAACCGACACAGGUGGUCAGGUAGAGAAUACCAAGGCGCUUGAGAGAACUCGGGUGAAGGAACUAGGCAAAAUGGUGCCGUAACUUCGGGAGAAGGCACGCUGACACGUAGGUGAAGUGAUUUACUCAUGGAGCUGAAGUCAGUCGAAGAUACCAGCUGGCUGCAACUGUUUAUUAAAAACACAGCACUGUGCAAACACGAAAGUGGACGUAUACGGUGUGACGCCUGCCCGGUGCCGGAAGGUUAAUUGAUGGGGUCAGCGCAAGCGAAGCUCCUGAUCGAAGCCCCGGUAAACGCGGCCGUAACUAUAACGGUCCUAAGGUAGCGAAAUUCCUUGUCGGGUAAGUUCCGACCUGCACGAAUGGCGUAAUGAUGGCCAGGCUGUCUCCACCCGAGACUCAGUGAAAUUGAACUCGCUGUGAAGAUGCAGUGUACCCGCGGCAAGACGGAAAGACCCCGUGAACCUUUACUAUAGCUUGACACUGAACAUUGAGCCUUGAUGUGUAGGAUAGGUGGGAGGCUUUGAAGUGUGGACGCCAGUCUGCAUGGAGCCGACCUUGAAAUACCACCCUUUAAUGUUUGAUGUUCUAACGUGGACCCGUUACCCGGGUUGCGGACAGUGUCUGGUGGGUAGUUUGACUGGGGCGGUCUCCUCCUAAAGAGUAACGGAGGAGCACGAAGGUUGGCUAAUCCUGGUCGGACAUCAGGAGGUUAGUGCAAUGGCAUAAGCCAGCUUGACUGCGAGCGUGACGGCGCGAGCAGGUGCGAAAGCAGGUCAUAGUGAUCCGGUGGUUCUGAAUGGAAGGGCCAUCGCUCAACGGAUAAAAGGUACUCCGGGAUAACAGGCUGAUACCGCCCAAGAGUUCAUAUCGACGGCGGUGUUUGGCACCUCGAUGUCGGCUCAUCACAUCCUGGGGCUGAAGUAGGUCCCAAGGGUAUGGCUGUUCGCCAUUUAAAGUGGUACGCGAGCUGGGUUUAGAACGUCGUGAGACAGUUCGGUCCCUAUCUGCCGUGGGCGCUGGAGAACUGAGGGGGGCUGCUCCUAGUACGAGAGGACCGGAGUGGACGCAUCACUGGUGUUCGGGUUGUCAUGCCAAUGGCACUGCCCGGUAGCUAAAUGCGGAAGAGAUAAGUGCUGAAAGCAUCUAAGCACGAAACUUGCCCCGAGAUGAGUUCUCCCUGAGACUUAGAGUCUCCUGAAGGAACGUUGAAGACGACGACGUUGAUAGGCCGGGUGUGUAAGCGCAGCGAUGCGUUGAGCUAACCGGUACUAAUGAACCGUGAGGCUUAACCUUACAACGCCGAAG
rnacentral:rRNA from 1 species